UCUAUGUAUUUUUUUUGUACAAAAAUAUUGUGUAUUUUCAUUAACUUAUAAUUGACUCUAUCAAAUAAUAUAAUUAUUGAAUUUCAUAAUAAUAAUAAUUCGUUGGUUGUUGUUCUUCAUCUCAUUCAUCUCCCUUAAAACUCGGUCGCAUCACCCUUUCUCUCUCUUGCUUCUUUUAUCUCUUCCAUUGCACCCUCUUGCAAUCAAUCUUUCAUGACGUCUGAAGAGAAAGGCCGGCCCCUGCCAAAAUUUGGCGAGUGGGAUGUGAAUAAUCCCGCCUCCGCCGAUGGAUUUACCGUCAUAUUUGCCAAGGCCAGGGAUGAAAAGAAAGCCACCGGAACGUCGGGGACGGGGGUGCGGCAGGCAGCAAAACCAAUGAACGGCGGACAGAAUGAAAACGACAACACGAAGAAAUGGUUUUGCUGUUUCUGAAAAACCGGAGCUUUUCUACUUGUGAAAUGAAAGGUGAAAAUUGAAGAGCAAUGGCCAUUGGGUGGUGGUAUAUUAUGCUAUUAUUCAUAGGCCAAAUAUCAUCCCUUUCUAGUCCAGAAGGGGGGGCAUGAGUUGUGGUGGUUGUUUUUCUUUACAUACUAUCAUCAUGUAUAAUAUUGCACUUCAAUUUAAUUGAAUGAAAAAAAAAAAGGGGGCAAGAAUUAUUCUAAA